GUUCCGGUCGCGCACGGGUCGAGCCGCGGGGUGUGAGCCGCGCGGGCCGCCGUAGUCAGCUGUUGCGAGCAGGAAGUGUCCGAGGAGUGGGUGGAGACUGCACCAUGGCCCCGGACCCCUGGUUCUCCACCUACGAUUCUACCUGCCAAAUUGCACAAGAGAUUGCUGAGAAAAUUCAACAACGAAAUCAGUAUGAAAGAAAUGGUGAAAAUACAACCAAGCUUACCGUGACAAUCAGAGCUUUGUUGCAGAAACUGAAGGAAAAGAUCGCCCUUUUGAAGGACUUAUUGCUAAGAGCUGUGUCAACACAUCAGAUAACACAGCUCGAAGGAGACCGAAGACAAAACCUUUUGGAUGAUCUUGUAACUCGAGAGAGACUACUUCUGACAUCCUUUAAGAACGAGGGUGCAGAACCAGAUCUCAUCAGGUCCAGCCUGAUGACUGGAGGGGCCAAGCGAGGAGGACCCAACCCGUGGCUCUUCGAGGAGCCGGAGGAGACCAGAGGCUUGGGUUUUGAUGAAAUCCGGGAACAGCAGCAGAAAAUUAUCCAAGAACAGGACGCAGGCCUUGAUGCCCUUUCCUCCAUCAUAAGUCGCCAGAAACAAAUGGGGCAGGAAAUUGGGAAUGAACUGAAUGAACAAAAUGAGAUAAUUGAUGACCUUGCCAACCUGGUGGAGAAUACCGAUGAGAAACUUCGCACCGAAACCAGGCGUGUGAAUCUGGUGGACAGGAAGUCCACGUCUUGUGAGAAAUCACAACCAUUUGGAAGUUUAAAUAUAGCCUCCAGAAAGCCAGCGAGCUCAGCUCCUGGUGGCUGCGUGGCGCCAGCCCCGGCCCCAUCCCUGCGCCGAACGAAGCCUCAGCGAUGGCUUGAGAAAAGUCUUGAACGUCACUAACCCUGUUGUCUCUGCUGCUACUGUGGAGGCAGAGUGCCAGGCGGGCGCGAGGGGCCUCCCACUGACCAGGACCUGAGGAUGCUGGCUCAGGACAGAAGCCCCAGCCUGUAGGCCUGAUGCCAUCACCAGGGCCAGCAUCUCAGGGGUGACUCACCCAGAAGCACCCCCUGUGGCCUGCGAGGGAACCGCGGAGGAUCAGACAGCCCGGCUCUGCCACUUAUCUGCACGGGGACACUGGGGAGGAGCCGGGCCUCGACUGCAGUGUGCGGCCAGUGCAGCGGGCGCCCCCAGGCGACAGGCCAUCUUCGGGGGCCACCAGAAAGGAGUGGGCAGGGUGCUGCCCGGCAGUACCAGGACAGCCAGG